AGUGAACGCUGGCGGUAGGCCUAACACAUGCAAGUCGAACGGCAGCACAGAGGAGCUUGCUCCUUGGGUGGCGAGUGGCGGACGGGUGAGGAAUACAUCGGAAUCUACUCUGUCGUGGGGGAUAACGUAGGGAAACUUACGCUAAUACCGCAUACGACCUACGGGUGAAAGCAGGGGACCUUCGGGCCUUGCGCGAUUGAAUGGGCCGAUGUCGGAUUAGCUAGUUGGCGGGGUAAAGGCCCACCAAGGCGACGAUCCGUAGCUGGUCUGAGAGGAUGAUCAGCCACACUGGAACUGAGACACGGUCCAGACUCCUACGGGAGGCAGCAGUGGGGAAUAUUGGACAAUGGGCGCAAGCCUGAUCCAGCCAUACCGCGUGGGUGAAGAAGGCCUUCGGGUUGUAAAGCCCUUUUGUUGGGAAAGAAAUCCAGCUGGCUAGUACCCGGUUGGGAUGACGGUACCCAAAGAAUAAGCACCAGCUAACUUCGUGCCAGCCGCCGCAGUAA
rnacentral:rRNA from 1 species